rnacentral:rRNA from 1 species
UGGGGAAUUUUGGACAAUGGGCGAAAGCCUGAUCCAGCAAUGCCGCGUGUGUGAAGAAGGCCUUCGGGUUGUAAAGCACUUUUGUCCGGAAAGAAAUCCUUGGCUCUAAUACAGUCGGGGGAUGACGGUACCGGAAGAAUAAGCACCGGCUAACUACGUGCCAGCAGCCGCGGUAAUACGUAGGGUGCAAGCGUUAAUCGGAAUUACUGGGCGUAAAGCGUGCGCAGGCGGUUUGCUAAGACCGAUGUGAAAUCCCCGGGCUCAACCUGGGAACUGCAUUGGUGACUGGCAGGCUAGAGUAUGGCAGAGGGGGGUAGAAUUCCACGUGUAGCAGUGAAAUGCGUAGAGAUGUGGAGGAAUACCGAUGGCGAAGGCAGCCCCCUGGCAAGUACUGACGCUCAUGCACGAAAAGCGUGGGGAGCAAACAGGAUUAGAUACCCUGGUAGUCCACGCCCUAAAACGAUGUCAACUAGUUGUUGGGGAUUCAUUUCCUUAGUAACGUAGCUAACGCGUGAAGUUGACCGCCU